rnacentral:rRNA from 1 species
CAAGUUGAACGCUCUCUCGUUCUUCGGAACGGGAGGGAGUUGGCGGACGGGUGAGUAACACAUGGGUGACCUGCCCCGGAGUGAGGAAUACCGGCGAGAAAUCGCCGACAAUACCGCAUACGUUUCUCUCGUGAGGGGGAAGCAAAGCUCGCAAGGGCGCUCUGGGAUGGGCCCGUGGUCGAUUAGCUGGUUGGUGGGGUAAUAGCCUACCAAGGCGACGAUCGAUAGCUGGUCUGAGAGGACGAUCAGCCACACUGGGAUUGAGAACGGCCCAGACUCCUACGGGGGGCAGCAGUGAGGAAUAUUCGGCAAUGGGGGCAACCCUGACCGAGCAACGCCGCGUGCAGGACGACGGUCUUCGGAUCGUAAACUGCUUUUCUCUGGGACGAGUAAGGACGGUACCAGAGGAAUCAGCCCCGGCUAACUACGUGCCAGCAGCCGCGGUAAUACGUAGGGGGCGAGCGUUGUCCGGAGUUACUGGGCGUAAAGCGCACGCAGGCGGCCCGCCAAGUUCGGGGUGACAGUCUCCGGCUUAACUGGAGAAGGACCUUGAAGACUGGAGGGCUUGAGGACUUGAGAGGGACACGGAAUUCCGGGUGUAGUGGUGAAAUGCGUAGAUAUCCGGAGGAACACCAAAGGCGAAGGCAGUGUCCUGGCAAGUUCCUGACGCUCAGGUGCGAAAGCCAGGGGAGCGAACGGGAUUAGAUACCCCGGUAGUCCUGGCCGUAAACGAUGACCACUAGGCGUGGGAGGUAUCGACCCUUCCGUGCCGCAUUAACACGAUAAUUGGUCCCCCUGGGGAGUACGGUCCC